CAUGCAUGUCUCAGUACAAGCCGAAUUAAGGUGAAACCGCGAAAGGCUCAUUAAAUCAGUUAUGGUUCCUUAGAUCGUACCCACAUUUACUUGGAUAACUGUGGUAAUUCUAGAGCUAAUACAUGCAAACAGAGCUCCGACCGGAGACGGAAGGAGCGCUUUUAUUAGAUCAAAACCAAUCGGCGGCGGGUCUUCGGGUCCGUCGUCGUUCAACCUGGUGACUCUGAAUAACUUUCAGCUGAUCGCACGGUCACGCACCGGCGACGCAUCUUUCAAAUGUCUGCCUUAUCAACUGUCGAUGGUAGGUUCUGCGCCUACCAUGGUCGUAACGGGUAACGGGGAAUCAGGGUUCGAUUCCGGAGAGGGAGCCUGAGAAACGGCUACCACAUCCAAGGAAGGCAGCAGGCGCGCAAAUUACCCACUCCCGGCACGGGGAGGUAGUGACGAAAAAUAACGAUACGGGACUCAUCCGAGGCCCCGUAAUCGGAAUGAGUACACUCUAAACCCUUUAACGAGGAUCAAUUGGAGGGCAAGUCUGGUGCCAGCAGCCGCGGUAAUUCCAGCUCCAAUAGCGUAUAUUAAAGUUGUUGCGGUUAAAAAGCUCGUAGUCGAAUCUGUGUCCCGCGCCGCCGGUUCAUCGCUCGCGGUGUUUGACUGGCGUGUCCGCGGGACGUCCUGCCGGUGGGCCCCGUUCCGGCGCGUUCGCGCGUCGGGGCGGCCCAACUUGAAAUCCCGCCGCGGUGCUCUUCACUGAGUGUCGAGGCGGGCCGGCACGUUUACUUUGAACAAAUUAGAGUGCUCAAAGCAGGCUAAAACUUCGCCUGAAUACUGUGUGCAUGGAAUAAUGGAAUAGGACCUCGGUUCUAUUUUGUUGGUUUUCGGAACCCCGAGGUAAUGAUUAAUAGGAACGGAUGGGGGCAUUCGUAUUGCGACGUUAGAGGUGAAAUUCUUGGAUCGUCGCAAGACGGACGGAAGCGAAAGCAUUUGCCAAAAACGUUUUCAUUGAUCAAGAACGAAA
rnacentral:rRNA from 1 species